UGCCGAGAUCGCGCCACUGCACUCCAGUCUUGGCAACAGAGUCAGACUCUCUCUCUUUUUUUUUUUUUUGAGAUGGAGUCUCCCUCUGUCGCCCAGGCUGGAUUCCAGUGGCCUGAUCUCGGCUCACCGCAAGCUCCGCCUACCGGGUUCACGCCAUUCUCCUGCCUCAGCCACUGGAGUAGUUGGGACUACAGGCGCCUGCCAUCACACCCGGCUAAUUUUUUGUAUUUUUAGUAGAGACGGGGUUUCACCGUGUUAGCCAGGAUGGUCUCGAUCUCCUGACCUCGUGAUCAGCCCGCCUCGGCCUACCAAAGUGCCGGGAUUUAAGGCGUGAGCCACAGCGCCCGGCCCCGAGAGUGAAUAUCUUUUAACAGUGUUUUUCCUGAUCUUUUCCAACAUCUUCAUUGUGGUUCUGUCCUUUAUUUUUUGGUUAAAUCCAGAGGUUUACUUCUGCCUGUAUCUUUCCAAACUAUGAAUCUGUUCACAAUCACUCUCCCAUUUAAACCCUUCAGCAGCCCCAGUACCUUCGUAAUAAGGUCUCCUUAGCUUGGUAUCCAGAACACUUCAAUACUGGGCUUUGACCCCUGUUCUCCUUCCCCCACCUCUGUUUAGGUGCUUCACUGAGCUGCACCGAACAGCUCUUGGCCCCUUGAAAUCUCUGCAGUCUCCUUGUCUCCCUCUGCUGGAAUAUUCUUCUCUCACUUCAUCUGAUCAUUGCCUUCAAAACUCAGCUCAUUUUCUUAUUUCCUUGCCCUUUUCAUGUCCCUUGUUUUCCUCCGAUUAAAUUAAUGUUCCAAACUCAAAAGAAAAACAACUCAGCUCAGGCAUCACCUUGCCUGGAAGGCUUCCCUAGUCCUCCUGCCUCCCGCAGACCCUCUGGCACCCUGUGCAUUUGGGACUUGGCACACUAUGUCUCGUCUGCGGCCUCCACUGGACAAUGAGACCUGUUCUUGGGGAAGAUCCCGACUAAGCCAUUUUCCAGUGGCACCUCUUCCACCAUGAGUUCCUGAGGCAGUCCGAUGGGGCUACUUUAUUCCAGAACAAUCACAGUGAGACCUCUUCUCCCAAUAAAUGCCCCUUUUCUCUCCUUAA